GUAAAAUGCUACCUGUUGUUAGUGUUUUUUAGGUGAUUGUUUUGUGGGUGAAAAAGUGUGUUUGUUGUCUGUCAACCUUUGCUAGUGUUCUGGAAGAAUGAGUUGAUUUGAGACAUGUAUGAAGUGAUUUGGUAGUAUUAGUGCAUUUUGAAAGUGAAAUGAACUGCUGUGCCAAGCUGAAAGUUGGUUUGGAGAACUGUGUGAAGAGUUUUGAAAAUGUGACCUAAGUAUUGGGAAAUGUGUCCUAGCAACUGUAAAAAACUGUAAAUGUUCCAUUGGCAAGGAAAGAUGGUUGGACAAGCCCUAUUCAACCUAUAAUAUACACUGUAUCGAAAUCACCAACCAAAACAGCAAAGAAUGGGAAGUUCUUGUAAAAUGUAAGUGUGUGUGUGGGUGUGUGUUUGUGUGUGUGCGUGAUUGGAGUAGUGUGUGUGUGAUAGUUGUACGUGUUAAGCAGUUCAUACCACUAACCUAUGUAAAACAACGAAUAAUAACAAUAUUUAUAAUAACGAAUAAAAUCAUAUUUCUCUUCGUGAUACUAAAUGUAUGGAUUCAAGUCAGUAAUAGGAAUUUAUCUUUGCACAAAGUUACCACAUAAGGAGACCUGUGUUGCCUUCCCCUAAUGUGUUUGCAUCUGUGCUCCUACACUAAAGGGGAUAUAGAUUAUGACACAGUAACAGGUGCCGCCUAACAACGUGUGUAUUGUAUUUCCAAUCCAUCUGCCCACAGAGACUAAUCAUCUAAUUGUAGCUGUACGGCUGGUGCUGUCGUUCCACCCGGCACUAAACUGAAGGGAGGGAGCAUCCCGUAAAAUUGCUCUUGAUUUGGAGAACCGCCGGAUCAAUAGAAAUACCCGUUCUCCGCUCGCACAUUUACGGCCGAGACAUAUUUCGAGAAAGUAUAUCAGGGGUCUGCCACUGUGAAUGAGCCAAGCGUUAUUGCGCUGAUUCAGAUUGAUGCCCCUUGAUUAUUUCACAGUGCAUUAAAGAGUGCUUUCAUUCUAGAUAACGCUGUUCUCUCUUCUAUUGCUCUUAUCCAGCGCCGUCGUUUGUUCAUUAGGCACAGCAGACCUAAUUUGUCAAUGAAUGCAUUGUACUAACCCCAGGUCCUAAAGAGGCCUGGUCGUGGCUUGGCGCUGACAGGCUCCGGCAUCUGAAGUUAUUGAUCCGGUAGACUCAAAUAGCCGUUUGAUCCAUAUCGGACUUGGUUUUCUUAUCAGUGACACACAGGGACACUUGCCAUCCUUGGCGCACCAAUGGAGAUCCCUACUUGGGAAGGUCUUCUAGGAAAUGGCUGUGUGUGAUUUGCAUUUUCAGAGGGAUCCUUUAGCAUGCAAUUAUAAACUGACAUUCACAUGUUUGUGGCGAGUGAGGUGAGUGUUGUGGAGGUACAGGCAGGCAUGUCUCAAUCAAAAUAAAUAAAGUCAAGUUGGAAUAUAUAGUAUAGACAGC
ensembl:lncRNA